rnacentral:rRNA from 1 species
GUGGGGAAUCUUCCGCAAUGGACGAAAGUCUGACGGAGCGACGCCGCGCGAGUGAAGAAGGCCUUCGGGUCGUAAAGCUCUGUCAUCAGGGACGAACGGCCGGUGGAGUGGAAAGCCACCGGAUUGACGGUACCUGAGAAGGAAGCCACGGCAAACUACGUGCCAGCAGCCGCGGUAAUACGUAGGUGGCAAGCGUUGUCCGGAACUAUUGGGCGUAAAGCGCGCGCAGGUGGGAUCUUAAGUCCAUUUGUCAAGUUCGGAGCUCAACUCCGUGGUGGGAGGGAGACUGGGAUUCUUGAGUACCGGAGAGGAAAGUGGAAUUCCCCGUGUAGCGGUGCAAUGCGUAGGUAUGGGGAGGAACACCAGUGGCGAAGGCGGCUUUCUGGACGGUGUCUGACACUGAGGCGCGAAUGCCAGGGGAGCGAACGGGAUUAGAUACCCGAGUAGUAC